rnacentral:rRNA from 1 species
GACGAACGCUGGCGGCGUGCUUAACACAUGCAAGUCGAACGGAAAGGCCCUGCUUUUGUGGGGAGCUCGAGUGGCGAACGGGUGAGUAACACGUGAGUAACCUGCCCUUGACUUUGGGAUAACUUCAGGAAACUGGGGCUAAUACCGGAUAGGAGCUCCUGCUGCAUGGUGGGGGUUGGAAAGUUUCGGCGGUUGGGGAUGGACUCGCGGCUUAUCAGCUUGUUGGUGGGGUAGUGGCUUACCAAGGCUUUGACGGGUAGCCGGCCUGAGAGGGUGACCGGCCACAUUGGGACUGAGAUACGGCCCAGACUCCUACGGGAGGCAGCAGUGGGGAAUAUUGCACAAUGGGCGGAAGCCUGAUGCAGCAACGCCGCGUGCGGGAUGACGGCCUUCGGGUUGUAAACCGCUUUCGCCUGUGACGAAGCGUGAGUGACGGUAAUGGGUAAAGAAGCACCGGCUAACUACGU